rnacentral:lncRNA from 1 species
GCACAUCAUAAAAAAAUGCAAGUAAUAUAUAAAAAUAGAGUGGUCUAACUUAAAUAAUAGUCAAAUGUAAAUUUCUCAAAUUACUAAAUAUAAGAAGCGUAUUUAUUUAACAUAAUUAUAAGAAAAUCAAUCAUUUUAUAUUUUCAAAUAAUUUCAAAUAAUGUAUUUAUCGUAUAAAUGGGCUUAACCUACAAAAAAACCCAGACUUUGCAUCAUAGAAUCACUCUAAACUGACGUUCGUCGCCUGGCACUUCAAAUUGAAAAAUUUGUAUUAUUAUUACCUGAAAUUCAAAUUUUGCUAGAAUUUUAAAUAAAAAAAUAUUAAAGUGGAUCCCAUAGCACCACUGUUGGAUCAGCUUAACCCAAGCCCAAGGUGUCAAAACGACCAUACUCACCGUUUUGCGCCCCCAAUUUUUUUUCCCCCAAAAUCCCUAAUCCUAAAGCAACUCUCCCCGUCCAUGAUAGCCGUCCAGCUCGACGGCGACAACGCCACAUCUCUCGUAGGCUCCUCUCUCUCACCGCCUUCUUCGCUUCCUCUUCUACAAUCUCACUUUCUCCUGUUCCUUUCUGUUCGCUUGCUUCACUGGAACGUGUGUUCCAUUUCCUAGCUUUUAGAGUGAAGUUCAGAAUGGCUUUUGAGCCGCAAAACUUGAACGCUGCUUGAUCGUAGGCUUUGGCGGCUUCGUCGAAUGUGCCGAGCCACAAUCGACGGCCUUUCCGAUUCGGGUCUCGGAUCUCCGCUGCGUAUUUGCUCCACGGUCUCUGUCGGACUCCUCCGUAAUGCCUUUUCUUUUCUACAGCAAAAGCACCCGAGUCAGCUUGGACCGGUUGCUGGUUCAGUUCAGCAAAUUGGAUGAGUAUCUUGAAGUACGACUUUUAAUUCGUCGUAGAAGUUGAACCAACCGGUGAUAUUUGAGGUUUUGAUUCAAAAUCAUUGAAAACGUUAUUUGAUUGAGAAAUACUUUGAGGUUUUUGAUUCAAAUCGGAAAUUCUGAAUGUGUUGUAUUUGAGGUUUUGAUUCGAAUUCGAAGAUUUCGUUACUUGAUUGAGAGAUUAGUUGAGGUUUUGCAUCAAAUUCAAAACUGGUUGACGAAUCACAAGAUCUUGGAGCAGUGAGAUCGACGAUUUGAGGUUGCGUAGGGGUUCUUUGGCAUUCAAGAAGACAGUGAUUGAAGAUGAGAUUGUUGAAAAUGGUGAGUAUGGUGUCAAAAACGACGCCUUUUGACACCUUGGUUAAGUUAACCCCAAAGGGGUGCUGUGGGAUCCACUUUAAUAUUUUUUAUUUAAAAUCUUAGCAAAAUUUGAAUUUAGGGCGAUAAUAAUAUAAAAUUUUCAAUUUGGAGUGACAUGGAUGAAUAUCAAGUUAAAGUGAUUUUGCAAUAAUUCGCGUAAGUCAGGAUUUUUUUAUAUUUUAAGCCUCGUGUAAAUGCAAAAUUACAAACUAAAAAAGAGCGAGAAGAUUGAGUAAGAGACGCCGGCAAGGCGAGAGGCUGCAUAAUAGGCGAUGCAAGUGAGUGCAUAAUUGUAAAAUGCAUAGAGAAAUAAGAAAGAGAGGAUAAGGUCUGUUUGAGAGGAAUUAAGUUCACUGCGUCGUGUGCUAGAAAAUGGAUUAAACAACAACGGAUGUGGCUAUCAAACACUUAUAGUUUGAUUAAAGAGAAGGGUCUGUUAUAAAAUAUUAAAGAAUAUUACUGCAAAAGAUGAUACUUAUUGAUGUAAACUGUAUGAAUUUAUACAGAUUGCUAAACCUAAUUUGAAAAUCAAAUCCCACUAUAAUAGGGAUAUAAUAAUAUUUACAGAUAUUUUUUCCUAACAAAGUUUAUUGCUAAUAGAGUAUACAGAUGUGCUUGGGCUUGGCUAUUAACCACCCUCAAGCUUAAGGGCACGGAUGAAGCCCUAGCUUGGUCUUAUUCCUCAGAAAC